ACCAGUUUAAAAUAAUCUCUGCUGUGUUUAUUCACCAGUAAGGUAUUCCUGUCCACAGCUCAGGGUGCUGCUGCGCCAUCUGCUGGUCGUCAUAGGAAACAAUCACCUGCUGGCCUCUCGACCAACAGGAGCGCAAGAGUUUAUCUCCGAACAGGGAUAGGAUGUACUCAACAAGGCGAAUGUGAUCUGUGAGAGUCAGCGAUUCAAAAUGCGAGCAGCAGACGAUCACGAUCUCUUUUGGAUGAGCAUCCAACCAGCAGGUUGAAGUUGGACUCUGGGAAACUGUGAUGGACAUUUUCUACUAUGGAUCAGGCCGACCAGCUGCCCUCCAGAGCCGGUAAACUUCAACUUUACUACUUUAUUUUCUUUUAUUCAGGAGCUCGAACAUAAAGCAAAGCUGGGAACUAAAACUAGUCAAUUCCUUCAAAAUAAAACUACACUAAAACUACUUCAUCACUUGUUAA